CCUUAAAGACGUCACUUCAAUCCUCACAGUCAUUUACUGCAACUCUAAUAUACUGGGCUAAGGCCAAAAAACAAACAAUCCAUCCCUGUCCACCUACUCACACAACACACUUUUCCGGUGGGAUUAAAUAAGAUCAGAACUUGAGUUGAGUUCAAAGGUCACAAAGUUCAAAGCAUGCAGGUGCUUCAGAAAGCUGCAAGAGGAAGUAAAGAGGGAAAAGCCGAGAAGGCUGUGAGAGAACCACAAUCACGCAAGUUGCGUGUGGUUUCCAGCUUCUUGCCAAGACCUCUCACUCUCUGCAUCCCAGACUUUCUCCCUGAGUUAUCCAAUCUCCCUGUCAUCUCCACUGGCUGCCCUCCCCACUCCCACUCUCGGCCGCACACAAAUGGUUUGAAUAAGACGUCUGCAUGACUGGGCUGCGGCUACAGACGAAAUCCUGAAGAGUGAUAGUUUACUUAGCCUAAAUACCCCCGAUUAGACAAAUUGAAACAUUGUUGUUAUGCGGUGGAAACUCAAGGACCCAUUGGCCGAUUGUGGUCCCCUCGUUCCGGAAAAGAAUGUGCUUUACGGACUUUCGUCAUGUGAAAACCACAAGAUCUGGUACAAGUGGAAAAAACACAAAACAAAACCAAAAAACCGCCCCCGAAAAAACGCUGCCACAAAAUCAACUAAAAUCCUCCACCAAAACAAAAACUGUUAAACAGAAAGUGAACAUUGUCAAAUACAGAUGAUUCACAAAGGAGGCAGGCACACGCGACUCAGGCUUCUGUGACUACUGAAAAACAUGUCUUACCACAAACUGACGUAUGGUACGAGCCAUGAUGUCACUUUUUCCUCUCAUUUUGAACGUCUCCAGGAUCACAAACAAGGCCUGCAUCAACUGAACUGAUCGCAAACAACGUCUCUAAAAAAUAAGAAACCAAUCAUUGGGCCACACAUUAUGAAGGAAUCAUUCAAAAACAAUUUAAAUGACUCAACUUCCGAGUCCCACGGUGUUUAAAGUCAGCCAACUGUCA
ensembl:lncRNA